ensembl:snRNA U5 U5 spliceosomal RNA
GUACUCUGCUUUCUCUUCAGUUCGUAUAAAUCUUUCGCCUUUUACUAAAGAUUUCCUGGAGUUAUAAAAUUAUCCAAGAGUCUAUUUGACUUUCUGUUACAGCCUUAGACAGCCAA